rnacentral:rRNA from 1 species
CUCAGCGGUCUUUCUAGUCUUAAAAAAAACUAUGAAUCAGAUAUCAUUAUCUAAGGAGAACCAGGCCUGGUCAGCACAUGAAUGGGAAACCUCUAAGGAACAUCCAGGGUUUCUCUGAAG